rnacentral:tRNA from 1 species
GGGGUUGUGGCUCAGUGGCAGAGAGCUUGCCUAGCAUGCAUGAGGUACUGGGUUCGAUCCUCAGCACCA